GAUGAACGCUGGCGGCGUGCUUAACACAUGCAAGUCGAACGGUGAAGGCGGAGCUUUCCCUGCUGGAUCAGUGGCGAACGGGUGAGUAACACGUGAGCAAUCCCCCCCUGACUCUGUGAUAAGCCCUGGAAACGCCGUCUAAUACUGGAUACGAGCUGCUAAGGCAUCUUCAGCAGCUGUAAAGAACUUCGGUCAGGGAUAGGCUCGCGGCCUAUCAGCUUGUUGGUGAGGUAACUGCUCACCAAGCCUUCGACGGGUAGCCGGCCUGAGAGGGUGACCGGCCACACUGGGACUGAGAGACGGCCCAGACUCCUACGGGAGGCAGCAGUGGGGAAUAUUGCACAAUGGGCGAAAGCCUGAUGCAGCAACGCCGCGUGAGGGACGACGGCCUUCGGGUUGUAAACCUCUUUUAGCAGGGAAGAAGCGAAAGUGACGGUACCUGCAGAAAAAGCGCCGGCUAACUACGUG
rnacentral:rRNA from 1 species